rnacentral:lncRNA from 1 species
UAAAGUAGUCAACCUCUGUAUUUGACCAGAUAACUGGAAGAGGGAUCCUUUUCAAUUAAGUGUUGUUUAGUUGUUUUUAGAUGAAAGAUAAAAACUAGAGUUAACAAAGAACAACACAAGAGAUUUAUACUGGUUCACCCAAACAAGGGCUAGUCCAGUCCCGACCAACUGCCGGAAUUCACUCGCCUAAAGGUUAUGGCAAAACCUUAGAUUAUCAAGGAAACUCUUAAGAACCUCUCUAAGCUUUAAGGCUACUUCGCUUAGGAACCAGUCUUUUACGGGUAGACUCACACCUUAGAGUAUCAAGGGCACUCUUAAGAACCUCUAACUUUUGCGGGUAAGUUAGUACCUUAGAGUAUCAAAGAACUCUUAAAAACCUCUCUAAGCUUUAAGGCUACUUCGCUUAGGAACCAGUCUUUUACGGGUAGACUCACACCUUAAAGUAUCAAGGGCACUCUUAAGAACCUCUAACUUUUACGGGUAAGUUAGUACCUUAGAGUAUCAAGAAACUCUUAAAAACUUAGAAAUCUUUCAAGGUAGAUUCGACCUAAGAGUUUUUCCGGAAACUCUAUAAAACCAAACUAGAGCUUUAUGGUUGAGCUCGAAAACCUUUUCACACUUUGGUAUUAUUGAGACAACCCUCUCAAUCAAAGUGGAUACACACAAGAGGUGAUUAGAGGAGUGGAAUAUUAAAGCAAAUAACACUUCUUACUUGUAAAGAUGAACAAGAAGAUUAGAAGAAGAAGUUGGAGAGCUUUUGAAGCUUUGGAAAGCUAGGACACUUGAGCACUUGAAAGCUUGGAAGCUUGGAGGCAAAAACGUGUGGGCAAGUGUGGAGUGAAAACUCUUGAGUUUGCUUGUAGUGUGGUGAUUGAAAAUGAGGGGUUUACCUGUCUAUUUAUAGCCUUGGCCACUCAAUGUCCAUCCUUGGAUCUUCAAU